GAUGGUUACCUGUCCUGGUGGUUUGUCGCUAUUAUAGGUUGGCCAAUGCUUGAUCACUUCAGUUAGUUGCUUAGCCCUGCUACUAAUUAUUAGUCUCUGCAUUUAUCCAGAGUAGGGAUAUACAAUUGUGCUCAAAGGUUUGCAUACUCUGGCAGAAAGUGUGACAUUUUGGCAUUGAUUUUGAAAAUAUGACUGAUCAUGCAUAACAUUUACUUUUAUUGAAGGAUAG